rnacentral:lncRNA from 1 species
AGAAAUCUGAAAUUAAAUGUUUAAAAAUAUAAAAUGACAUGAUCAUGUUAAAAUCUUAACUAAGACAGACACACACGACUUUGGGUAUUCUAAAUGUUAGUAAAGAUGUCAUGACUUACACAUAAAUAAACCUGAAAUGUGCUACAAUUUAUAGAAUUAUAGUGGCAUAUAACCAGCUGAAAUAUGCCGGACCACAUUAAUGGUAAUGUUAUUUGUGUUUGUGAGUAAGCAUCUCCCUCAAACAGUAAGUUAUCGAUGUAAACGUUAUUAUGUUUGGUGUAUAUUCCAGGCUUUAGAUGCGCCAGAGAUGUCAAACGUUGUAUUGUCCUUAAUAAUACAAAUGCAGUUUGUAACAUUUAAACAAAAAUUCCCACUUUCUGACACAAAAAAAAAGCUAAAAAACUAAAACAAAUAAAAAAAAAAAAAUCAAAUUUAAUAAUCGUAAAAUUGGAAUUCUAGAGAUUGAUGUUUAUAAUUUAAAUUCUUAAGAAAUAUAUCAACGUAACAAUGACGUUUCUGUGUUUGUCAUAUUUAAUUUAUUACUCGGAGAUGAAAAUAAAUGAUAUAUGAAACGUCAGUAGAAAAAUAUUUGAAUGUCAAAAUAUUC